UGCGAGAAGGGGCAACUACUUCAUCAAGAUGCACAUCUUCUUAAUUAGGACUAGAGAAGGAAAAUUGGAUCUUACAAUGAAAACCAGGCUAGUGAAAAAAUGACUAAAGUUCAAAAAACACUUGAAGUGAAGUUCGCAAUUGUGUCGCUCAUCCUUGUACGUGAGUGCCAUCUGAUGGUCCAACUAGAGAUACAGGAUCAGGUUCAUGCCACACGACACAUUGGUGUGGUAAGUGCGUGCUCCAAGUACCUCUUCCUGAUGCCUCUCAUUCCCAAG
rnacentral:lncRNA from 1 species